GCUUUCUUCCAGACAGAAAAAUGAGUCUUCAAGCCACAAAAAGCUUGAAUGCAUUAAGAUUUAAUGUAUAUUUAAUUUCUUUUAGACGCAAUCAGAAAAAAGAUCGGAAUGGUCAGAUUCUAUGUCAUGUCUUAUGAAGAAACUGGAACAGCUGAAUUUAGAUAUUGAAGAAGCUCUGAGUGCUAGCUCGUCUCCCUCCAGUACUCCUUCUACCACAAGGAACAGACAACUGUGCCCUGCUCGAGUGGAGACAAACUCUUAUAGAGAUCAUCAAGAACAGGGAUCAUGGAAGCACAGAAGUGCAGACUACCAGGAUUCAGACUGUUUACCUUACCCAGUAUCAACUGGAGCACGUCCUAAACCUUAUAUGCUGUUUCAGAAGCUGUCUAAGGAGAAAGCAGGUAAGACAUGGCAUUACUUCUUCAUUGUCACUUGGUGACUCAUGCAGAUGUAUGCAUUGAUGG